GGAGUAGGCUGGGCGAUCGCCCCGUGACGGGGAGGAAAGUCCGGGCUCCACAGGGCAGGGUGGCCGCUAACGGCGGCGCGGCGCGAGCCGCGGAAAGUGGCACAGAAAAUAUACCGCCCAUCGGGUAAGGGUGAAAAGGUUGGGGUAAGAGCCCACCGGCGCGCGGGUGAUCGCGCGUGCAUGCCAAACCCCACCUGGAGCAAGACCAAAUAGGAGGGAUGGGUGGCCCGCUCGAAUCCCUCGGGUAUGGUCGCAUGAGCCGGCGAGCAAUCGUCCGGCCCAGAGGAAUGAUCGCCGCCCGUAAGGGUAACAGAACCCGGCUUACAGGCUCACUCCGGCC
rnacentral:RNase_P_RNA from 1 species